rfam:Syntrophomonas zehnderi OL-4 genome assembly, contig: OL-4DRAFT_scaffold-33
AAUUCUCAUAUGCUUAAUCCUGAGGCCUUCUCAGGAGCGGGGGAACCAUUAUUUUUGGGGUGAAUCCAGUUUACUGGUAGGGAUUCCUGAACCGAACCCGACAGCUAACCUCGUAAGCGCGUACAGGGGAGAUUU